rnacentral:lncRNA from 1 species
UCAAAGCUUUAUGGUCCUAUAAAAGAAUUGUUAUCCGAAGACAAUCCUGCAAAAUACAGAAAAACUACGAUGGAAGAGUAUGCAGCAUACUAUAAUGCCAAAGGUCUUGAUGGAACCACUGCUCUUGAACAUUUUAGAGUUUGACUAGAAAAAUUUGAAACUGGAGUUAGUUUAAUAAUCAUGUUGGUAGUGACAUAAUUUGUAAUUGUAAUUGAGAUUUAGUUAUAUAUAAGUUGAACAUUUGGUUAGUUCCUUAUUAAAAAAAAAAAAACAAUAAUAAUGAUACACAUAUUUGCUUGGUUAUAUAGAAAGCAAGGGCUUAUUCAGCCAAAUGUUCGCUUCAUAGCUUUUUGAAAUAAAAAAAUAGAAAAAAAAGAAAAAUUGAAUAAGGGAAAAAAUAUUAAAAAUAAUAAAAUAAAGUGUCAGUGAAAUAGUAUUUUAGUCUUCUUUAAAACAUAUUACUUCAAUCUUGCAACUCAAUUGUAAAUUAUUACGUAUGGGUGGCAAAGCAGCCGGCCCGCCUCUUUUUUUUUGAAAUAUUUUUUAGAACAAUGUUAGGGAGCCAGCAACAUUUGUGAUUAGUAGCCAUCAAAUAGCCAUCAAUGAUGAUUUAAUGGUGUGAGAUUGUUGUGAGAUUUCAUCCAAUGGCUCACCUUUCUCUGCUGGUUACAUGCUGGCCAAAAUUCAAUAAAAUUGUUGGUCCCCUAGACUUUUCCUAUUUUUUAACAAAUUUUUUUAUGAUCAAAUUAAAUUUAACAUAAUAACGAUUAUUUUGUAAAAUAUCUCCACAUAUCAGAUGUUGUUGCUUUUGUCUUUUUUUUUUUUAAAUCUUCUGCAGUUUCAGAUCUUUAUUUUUAGGAUUGUGUUACAUUCCCACCAUCAACUUUCAUAGAGACAGAGUUAUCUAUAGCAAAAUCAACAACUCAACUUAAAUAACACAAAUAUAUAACAAUAUCUAAAUAAGUAAUAAAUCAAUAAAAAAAAUAUUAAAACAGUAAAAUUUCAAAAGCAUGAAAGAAGUUAAGCAUCAUAACUGAACCAUCAAUAAUAAUCUUCGAUAAUGUUGCAUCAGAACACAUACACCAAGCAUCCAACAAAUUAAAACUAAAGUAAAUUGAUAUCCUCCUACCACUCUACCAGUCAUAUACUCUUGGAACUAACACAACAUGUACAUUGAAUAAUUUAUUUUAGCACUGAUCAGAGCCUCCAAAAUACCUUCCUUAGUACCCAUUCAAAAUCAAAGAAUGCAUAUCAACUAGCACACAAAGAAUGUAUUGAAACGUCUAGCUACCUAUAGCUAAUUAGCUAUGCCUAUAUUAGUUAGCGUUUUAAAAAUAGGAAAAAGAGAGUUGUCUAUGUCUUGUUCCAAUUUAUUCAUCAAGAGCUAAAAUUGCAACUAAUUUAGAAUUUCAAGCCGAACAUGUUAAUUAAUGGCAUUGUCCUACCGAAAUUCUUAAUUACUGACCAUGACUAUCAUUUUAAUCAUGAAAUUAUCAACAGUUAACUUAAAUUUUAAUCAAGUGCUCUUAUUAAAAUUUAUCAUCUCAAUUCCACAUGAUGGUAGAUUUUUAAUCUGUUUCAGUGCGACGAACUUAGGUAGAUGUACUAUGACUCCACGAAAAAUUUUAAAAGCAUGAAAGAAGCUGUCCACAACCACAUACAUGAAUAUAUGAUAGAGCCAUAACAAAAACAAAUUAUAGGUAAAAUGUAAUCACAGUUCCUUACUUAAGAAAAAACAAAAGAACAGAACAAUCUUCACUUACUCAAUCACAGUCACCGAGAGCCAGAGGAGGAGAGAGGAGCGCCGCCGAGAAUCUGCGGGACACAGAACCGCCGAGGUCCAAGAGACAAAGGAGGAAAGAGGAGCAUAGGGAACAGUAGAGGCAAGACGAGACAACGCCGCCGGGACUUCGAUUUGGUGAGGAUCGACGAGAUGAGACAGGGACCGGCGACGGGGAGACCGACGACGAUGAGCUGCUGAAGGAUCAGGGAAGGGUUAGGGCCGGCUGUGGCUGUUGUUUGUAGGAAGGAAAACAAU